CAGCCAUACCAUGCUGAAUAUAUACCGGUUCUCGUUCGAUCACCGAUGUCAAGCAUCAUCGUGCGCGGUCAGUACUUGGGAGGGUGACCACCUGGGAACCCCGCGUGCCGUU